rnacentral:rRNA from 1 species
CAUAUGGAUUCCUACGGGAGGCAGCAGUGAGGAAUAUUGGACAAUGGAUGGAAAUCUGAUCCAGCCAUGCCGCGUGCAGGAAGACGGCCCUAUGGGUUGUAAACUGCUUUUGUAUGGGAGCAAUAAGGUCUAUGCGUAGACUGAUGAGAGUACCAUACGAAUAAGCAUCGGCUAACUCCGUGCCAGCAGCCGCGGUAAUACGGGGGAUGCAAGCGUUAUCCGGAUUUAUUGGGUUUAAAGGGUGCGUAGGCGGUUUGAUAAGUCAGCGGUGAAAUAUUUCAGCUUAACUGAAAGGGUGCCGUUGAUACUGUCAGGCUUGAAUAUGGUUGCUGUGGGUGGAAUGUGUGGUGUAGCGGUGAAAUGCUUAGAUAUCACACAGAAUAUCGAUUGCGAAGGCAGCUCACAAAGCCAUUAUUGACGCUGAUGCACGAAAGUGUGGGGAUCAAACAGGAUUAGAUACCCUGGUAGUCCACACUGUAAACGAUGAUAACUCGCUGUCGGCGAUACACAGUCGGUAGCCAAGCGAAAGCGAUACGUUAUCCACCUGGGGAGUACGACCGCAAGGUUGAAACUCAAAGGAAUUGACGGGGGCCCGCACAAGCGGAGGAACAUGUGGUUUAAUUCGAUGAUACGCGAGGAACCUUACCCGGGCUCGAACGGUGCAGGAAUACGUCAGAGAUGAUGUAGCUAGCAAUAGUCUGUAUCGAGGUGCUGCAUGGUUGUCGUCAGCUCGUGCCGUGAGGUGUCGGCUUAAGUGCCAUAACGAGCGCAACCCUUGUCGUUAGUUGCCAUCAGGUAAUGCUGGGAACUCUAGCGAGACUGCCACCGUAAGGUGUGAGGAAGGGGGGGAUGACGUCAAAUCAGCACGGCCCUUACGUCCGGGGCGACACACGUGUUACAAUGGUAGGUACAGAGGGCAGCUACCCAGCAAUGGGGUGCGAAUCUCAAAAGCCUAUCUCAGUUCGGAUCGGAGUCUGCAACUCGACUCCGUGAAGUUGGAUUCGCUAGUAAUCGCGCAUCAGCCAUGGCGCGGUGAAU